UGGAAGACACCCUUAACCACUGAGCCAUCUCACUGACCCUUGGAAUUUGCUUUUAGUGUCAUGUAUGCCCAUGUGUCCGAAGUCCAGCUGAAAUGAGUAGGAAGAUGAGACUGGGUUGAAGGACACAGAGCAGAGGACAUUCUUCACUGACAUCUGUGGAGAAUAUUGGCUGGAUACAAAGUAUCAUGUGAAAUGAGCUAAUGGGAAAGGAUCAUGAAAUGUGCUAAAGGGGAAGGGCUAUAGCCUCUGGCAUGCAGGCUGGGGACCAAGCUGCUCAGCCUAAGUGAGUCUGGUGGCCCUGUGAAGGGGCUGUCACAGAGUCUGUUGACUGUCCUCUUGGUGGGUGACGAGGCUUUCUGUUUCCUAAGAUUCCUGGUACCCGAGUCCUGACGAUGCUGCCCCUGAGUGCCCACCAGCCAGGGCUGAGCUAAGCAGAGAGAAGGUCUUGAGAGCCUGGAAAGUGUCUGAGAGACCCCUCCCUUUUCCCCAUGGGGAGUGCUGAAGGGCUUGUCACAGGUGCACUGCAAUGAUGCUGAGGACCUUCCUGACUGAACUUCACCCAUGACCCUUGCUCCUGUCCACGCCCCAGGACCAUCGUCCAUAGAGGGUGGGCUAAUCAGAGCCAACCCUAAAUCAAUCCCAGACUUCCCUGGCCAGCCCUGAGUUAUGAGCUGUCGGCAUUGUGAUGUAGAUCACGGUUGGGGAGUAGGGGACAUGACCUAUGGCAGAUCACACUGGACCCCCAGAAGGGGCCAGAGUUGGGGUCAGAGGUCAUCUCCUCCAUUCUCUGCCCCACCCUGCUGGGUCCCGUCCCCGGCCUAAUAUUUAAACUGGGUGAGGCCAUUUUUGUACUGACCUGUGGCCCCAGCAGAAUCUGCCAUCAAGUCUACCUAUAGCCUGCUCUUGGGAAUAGCCUUCAGAAGAGAGAAAACAGAUGUGGUAAACAUGAAUUUGGUUGCUUGAUGGAGCCUGUGUUCCAAACCACACUCAGCUCCUUCCUCGGUACUUUGCCCAUAGAAUUGCUUCUACAGCCACCAAGUGUCCACUUCCCCAUCUGAUUGAAUCCCAUAUGCAGACAGACACACGAGAGCAUCCCAGGCCAGGAAGAGGAAGGGCGCAGCCAGAUCAGCACCAAGCCUCACCCAGAUGGAGUUCUCAGGCUUAGUAGAGGGUGGUUAGAUGGCUAGAGAGGUGGCGAGAGCCAGCCAGUGAGCGGCAUCAGAGAACUAGGAUAAACUGAAAGAGAAGACACUGAACUAACACUCUCUCUUUCUCUCUCAUGUUUUUUUACAGGGUGGGAGAAUCAGGGGAUCAAACCCAGGUUGUUACACAUAUUGAGCCUGGCUUUGGAAAGCAUUAGAGCUGAGACAGUGCUGGCAGCUGAAGAAAUGGCUUGGCAGUUAAGAGCACUUGCUGCCCUCUCAGAUAACCCAAGAUCUAAUCUCACCAUCCACACUGGCCUCUGUUAUUAGCAAAAAUGAAGCUGAAGAAAAAUUAGUAUGGACAGUAAGGUGAACUUUCGUCAGAACCAACAGUGAAAAGACAAAGAACAGUUUGUAACACUUUUGGACCUCCGGGCCACCAUACAGAAGCUCUAUGACCGUUGGUUGAAAUGAACAUGUAUCACCUGGGGUCUGACCAACACUUUCCUCCCACCAUCUCUGUGAUGGAGACAUACACAGGCAAGGCCAAGACCCAUGCUGGGAACCAAGAAAGGCAUGGAGCUGAGAAGGGCAUGGAGCCCGACAGAGUGCUGCUUUCCUCGGGGAGGAAACUUGGACAGGACACAGGACAUGGACGUGGCUGACAGAGGGGAACAGAAUCCUCACCAACCUCUCUGUGACAGACCUGGACCUCUGAGGCUCAGGGGCGCUGACUGUUCCUGCUCAUGGCUUCCCCCUAGCGGCUGGACAUGACCUGACAGAAACAGGAUGCUCACUGGAGGCAAGAGGUGACCUGCUCUGGACCACUGAAGAGAAUUACAAAGCAAAUGUCCUUUCACUAGCUUAGUGUCCUCGAAGCAUUUCCACACAGGCUGACGUUCCCUUGUCCUUCAGCGGCCACUUGCAUGCGCUCCUUUCUCUUCGGACCUAGGAGAAAUGGGCGGGGCUUUCUGUCUGCUGACCUGUUAACCCAAUUGGAUGCAGGUGGCAGAUGUCCAAGGUGAAGAAAAAGCCAAGGGCACGGUUAAUGUAGAGAGAGGAGCAAUGUAUUGUGGGGUUUUUUGUUUUGUCUUGUUUUGGUUUCGGUUUUGGUUUGAGACUGUCUUUGUGUAACCCUGACUGUUCUGGAGCUCGCUCCGCAGAACAGGCCACCCCCGAACUGCCUCUGUCUCCCAAGUGCUGGAAUUAAAGGCAUGUACCACCAC